UACGGAAGGCAGCAGUGGGGAAUAUUGCACAAUGGGCGCAAGCCUGAUGCAGCCAUGCCGCGUGUAUGAAAAAGGCCUUCCGGGUUGUAAAGUACUUUCAGUCGUGAGGAAGGUGUUAAGGUUAAUAACCUUAGCAAUUGACGUUAGCGACAGAAGAAGCACCGGCUAACUCCGUGCCAGCAGCCGCGGUAAUACGGAGGGUGCGAGCGUUAAUCGGAAUUACUGGGCGUAAAGGGCACGCAGGCGGUUAAUUAAGUUGGAUGUGAAAUCCCCGGGCUUAACCUGGGAAUGGCAUUCAAGACUGGUUAGCUAGAGUCUUGUAGAGGGGGUAGAAUUCCAUGUGUAGCGGUGAAAUGCGUAGAGAUGUGGAGGAAAUACCGGUGGCGAAAGGCGGCCCCCUGGACAAAAGACUGACGCUCAUGUGCGAAAGCGUGGGGAGCAAAACAGGGAUUAGAUACC
rnacentral:rRNA from 1 species